rnacentral:lncRNA from 1 species
CAAAGUCGUUGCUAUUUUGUUUUACACUUCAUACAAACUAACAUGAAUAUUUCGAAAAGUUAAUUCUAAAAUAUACAAUUAUAUAUCUAAAAUUGAAGCAUCCUCAAUAUACAACCAUUCUACAAGAGACAAAAUAAAAUAUGUUGAAUAAAACUAGCUAAUGGGAGGCUAGAUAAUAAGAUGAACUCAAAUUUAUUUUUUUAUCAAACCAAAAUAAUACAAACUAUGUACAUUAGGUUAGAUAUUUUUUCUAUAAUUUAUAAAUUCUAGGGAGUUCCAUAUAAAAAAAAACCCUAAGUAAUGAAAUAUGUGAUUGAAAUGUCGCCACUCGAUCCUUGAUAUUUCUUGCAUUCAAGAAUAAAAACGCACCCUGUAAUUUCAAAAGAAAUAAUAAUUAGCACAAAAAUGAUGAGCAAACCCAAGGAAAAUUAUAAUACAAAGAUCAAGUUUAAUUAGUUAAAAUGCUACUAAUAUAAUUUCAAUAAGAAAAAAUUGUGUGAUAUUCUUUUACAAGAAUUUUUAACAAAUAACAAAAGGGAAAAACUCAAAGCAACAACAUCAGUAAACGAACCUGUACACCUUUUAAAGAAUUUCUCAAGGAAUCUUCAUCCCAACAUCACAACCUUAUUAUUUUUAAGUUCCCACGCAAUAUUUAUAACAAAUAAGAUACAAUAUUUAUCAAAUUGUUGGAAUAACCUGCAAAAUUUAACCCAAAAAUCUAAGUCAAAUAUUAGAUAUAAUAAGAUUCAAAAACCUUAAAAUAUAGAAAUAUGAAUAUAACUCAGAAUUAAGAAGGCAUCAAUUUCAAUGGUAGAAGAAAUGGGAAAGGGGGAGGAAGGGGUGGCGGCAGAGAGGGGGGGAAUAUGAGGUUAGGUUUUGGUUUGUCUUUGUUAUUAGUUUACUUUUCGUUAU